CGCUGCUGCCGGCGUCUUCCUCCAUGGGGUGUUCGGCCACGCAGGAAGAGGCACAGUUGCAGGGAUCCGAGUUGUUCACAGCGCCGGACGCUGCUGCGCCAUCACGCCUCGGCGUUGACACGAGGUGCUAGGUAUGUACAUAAGUUGUUUGUGUAAAUGCCAAAGUGCAAAGACUGCUCCGUCAAGAAUUCUCACAGCUCAGCUUGGAUUCGUAGGGAAGAAGCAGACUAACAAAGGAAAAGUUCAGAGGAACUUGAUUAUACCGAGGAAUCCAAUGGCUGCAUGUCUGAUCUGCG